rnacentral:rRNA from 1 species
UACAGAGGUCUCAAGCGUUGUUCGGAUUCAUUGGGCGUAAAGCGCGCGUAGGUGGCCCCAUAAGUCCGCUGUGAAAGUCAAAGGCUCAACCUUUGAAAGCCGGUGGAUACUGUGGGACUAGAGUACGGAAGAGGCGAGUGGAAUUCCUGGUGUAGCGGUGGAAUGCGCAGAUAUCAGGAGGAACACCAAUAGCGAAGGCAGCUCGCUGGGACGGUACUGACGCUGAGACGCGAAAGCGUGGGGAGCGAACAGG